rnacentral:tRNA from 1 species
GGGCGAGUGGUGGAAUGGCAGACACGAGGGACUUAAAAUCCCUUGGGCGUAAAAGCCCAUGUGGGUUCGACUCCCACCUCGCCCA